rnacentral:rRNA from 1 species
GACGAACGCUGGCGGCGUGCUUAACACAUGCAAGUCGAACGGAAAGGCCCUGCUUUUGUGGGGUGCUCGAGUGGCGAACGGGUGAGUAACACGUGAGUAACCUGCCCUUGACUUUGGGAUAACUUCAGGAAACUGGGGCUAAUACCGGAUAGGAGCUCCUGCUGCAUGGUGGGGGUUGGAAAGUUUCGGCGGUUGGGGGUGGACUCGCGGCUUAUCAGCUUGUUGGUGUGGUAGUGGCUUACCAAGGCUUUGACGGGUAGCCGGCCUGAGAGGGUGACCGGCCACAUUGGGACUGAGAUACGGCCCAGACUCCUAAGGGAGGCAGCAGUGGGGAAUAUUGCACAAUGGGCGGAAGCCUGAUGCAGCAACGCCGCGUGCGGGAUGACGGCCUUCGGGUUGUAAACUGCUUUCGCCUGUGACGAAGAGUGAGUGACGGUAAUGGGUAAAGAAGCACCGGCUAACUACGUG